AUUGAACGCUGGCGGCAUGCCUUACACAUGCAAGUCGAACGGUAACGGGCCUUCGGGUGCCGACGAGUGGCGAACGGGUGAGUAAUGUAUCGGAACGUACCUUUCAGUGGGGGAUAACGUAGCGAAAGUUACGCUAAUACCGCAUAUUCUGUGCGCAGGAAAGCAGGGGAUCGCAAGACCUUGCGCUGGUUGAGCGGCCGAUAUCAGAUUAGCUGGUUGGUGAGGUAAAGGCUCACCAAGGCGACGAUCUGUAGCGGGUCUGAGAGGAUGAUCCGCCACACUGGAACUGAGACACGGUCCAGACUCCUACGGGAGGCAGCAGUGGGGAAUUUUGGACAAUGGGCGCAAGCCUGAUCCAGCCAUGCCGCGUGAGUGAAGAAGGCC
rnacentral:rRNA from 1 species